UACAGAGGUCUCAAGCGUUUGUUCGGAUUCAUUGGGCGUAAAGGGUGCGUAGGUGGCGCUGUAAGUCGGGUGUGAAAUUUCGGAGCUUAACUCCGAAACUGCAUUCGAUACUGCGGUGCUUGAGGACUGGAGAGGAGACUGGAAUUCAUGGUGUAGCAGUGAAAUGCGUAGAGAUCAUGAGGAAGACCAGUGGCGAAGGCGGGUCUCUGGACAAGUUCCUGACACUGAGGCAACGAAGGCCAGGGGAGCAAACGGG
rnacentral:rRNA from 1 species